UACGGAGGGAGCUAGCGUUGUUCGGAAUUACUGGGCGUAAAGCGCACGUAGGCGGCUUUGUAAGUUAGAGGUGAAAGCCUGGAGCUCAACUCCAGAAUUGCCUUUAAGACUGCAUCGCUUGAAUCAUGGAGAGGCGGGUGGAAUUCCGAGUGUAGAGGUGAAAUUCGUAGAUAUUCGCAAGAACACCAGUGGCGAAGGCGGCUCACUGGCCCGAUACUGACGCUGAGGCACGAAAGCGUGGGGAGCAAACAGG
rnacentral:rRNA from 1 species